rnacentral:rRNA from 1 species
CCUGAGAAACCUAAAAGAUCGAAUGGGGAGAUUCAUCGUCAGCGGCUUUGGCUUCCGUGCGGUAUGCGAUGGCGGGGACCUCGGUCUCGCGUCACGCUGUCGCUGCGGCAUGUCUGGAAUCGUCGGCGUGCACUUCUCCCCUAGUAGGACGUCGCGACCCGUUGGGUGUCGGAUCGAUGGUCGGUCGGUCGCCUGUUGCGCUUGCGCUUCAGACCGAUUCGAUCGAAAGUCCGGCUGCCCGGCGGUAUUGAACGAUGCGAACUGGUAUCGGGCCGCACUCGAAUGCGUUCAGGCUCGUCGGCAGACUCGUCUCGCUCGGAUUUACGGACCUAGUGCCGUUGCCGGGUGCUUGGCGUGGCUAUCAGUCGACGAUGUCCUCGGACUGGCUCUUACCCGUCGGCGACGCUACUGCUUUAGGUACUUUC